CCAAGGAGCCCCGGACCACGAACGUGCGGGUGUGGGGCUACGCUGAGGGCGAGAGGCGCGCACGGGUGCGGAGCAGGGCGGCGGGGCUGGAGCACGAGUCCUGUGAGCCGCGGCUGAGGGAGCUGCGGGUGUUAGCCUGAGGCAGAGCAGGCUCAGGAGAGACCCGACUGCUUUCUACAACUGCCUGAAAGGAGGGUGCGGCCAGGUGGGGAUCGGCCUCUCCUCGCAGGGAUCACCCUGCCACUUCCCAUUAGCAUUAGCAGCACUCUGAAUUGCAAAAUCUUCAGAUGAACGUGCCGAGUCCUGUCAUUUCCCCCACAGGCUGUCUGGCGAUGAUAAUCCUCUAAAGGAUAAUUUCAUCCAAGUGGCGAUGUCCGAGUCAAAUGCCGGCAACAGGCAGGGAAACCCAAACCUGUUGAGGCAGACAUCUGCCCAGAUGGGAGGAAUCGGAGCGACGGCCUUUAAGAGGGCGAGGCGGGGGACAUACUUUGUGCCAGCAGAAUAAGUCCAAGGGCUGCACCCGUGAUGGGAGAGCAAGACCAUGAUCAUGAUGGCUGGAAGUUUGCGGGCUGCGAUGCCGAUGCUGGCCUGAGCAGGCCCGGGGCUGCGCUCUUUGGAGGGGUGCCUUGUCACAUUAGCCGGGCGGCCACUGUGUUUGAUGCUCAACCUGGACAGACAGGCCUGCCAGGCAGAAACUGCUCAGGCAGAUGAUGCUGGGGAGGACAAAAAUUAUCCACUGCAAGACUGAGAAGACAGAUGACACCCAGCAGGAACAGCAAGCCAAAUCUGCAGAAUCCACAAUGCAGCUGGCUAGCCCGGGGCUACCUGCCUCUUUGAAGAGGAAUAGACAUCACCUACGAGCUGUCAAAUUAGAUCACCAGCCUGAAAAUGCUGAGAGAGAUUUAGUUCUUCCAACAGAGAAGGGAAAGUUUAAUGGAUGAAAAUUUUCCUAAAGGGGCCAAGGUAGCGUGGGAGGGGAAAAGGGAAAUCCUUCAGAUGCAGCAACAAUGAAAAAUUAAUCGCCUCCCGCCUGCCUGCAGAGUGAGAGAUGGGAUGCGCGGUGUUCUGUGGCAGCCGAGCUGGCUGUAGUCACUACCAGCGUGGAAAAUAAAGGCCACGCCUGCAGGAACAUGCACAGAGCAGCAACAAGUAAUGCUUGCUACAAAAUCGAUGCCCCUUUCCAAAUCUGUGAUAUCUUUGUGUCACCCUAGGGCUGGGCUCUGAGGUAGGAUACAUCUCAUGUUCAAGACAUGCAGCAGUGGAAUACAAAGGCCCAGUCUGAAUAUGAAGACUCAGCAAAGCAGGAGGUGCAUGAUGGCAUUUCCCCUUUAAUUUCCUUUGCAAUAAAAUUCCAGCACAAAGAAAAUGUGUGCAAUCGAGGUCAAUUUUGAUAAAUAAAUAGAAAAAAAAGUUAGGAUUACCAAGUGAGUAAGCAUGUGCUCAGGUGUAUGGUGAAUAUGAAACGUGGCAUUUCCAUCAGGGACAGCAGCAGCAUGAUCCAAUUAUAGAUGCAAAGAAGAAAUACUGCUCUUGGGGGGAAAAAUAUUAAAUGUAGCAAUCCAUUAAGCAGCUGCAUCAUUGCAAUUACACUUUGAAGUUAAAGACUGUGAAACACACAGUCUUUAAAGAUUAAAAGAGGUGAUAAGAUUAAAAACCAAAAGGGGAAAAAAAUCAAAUAGGCCUACAGAGCUGUCUUUCUAGAAAGAAAAAAGGUAGAAAAAAUUUUUAUACAAGGUUCUGUAUACACAUACAAUUGUAAAAUCAGUUUAUGGCCAUACCAAGCAAAUCUACUUGAAAAAUCUAUUCCCAGCUUCUGCGUUCAACACAGUGACAAACCGUAAAUCACCUUCAGAUAUGCAAGCAGAAGAUGUUAGCACAUCAGAAAGAAUAUGAACCAUUCUAAAUAGAAGAGCUUACACUGGAUUUGUUAAUGAUUUUAUAGUUCUAUCACUUUAUUUUCCUCUCUCUCAGCUAAUUGAUUUUAAGCACUUUGUCCUCUUUCAAAUCAACAGCUGACUUUUAUUCAUCUAUUAUUUUUUUAACCAAGCAAAAAAUAGAUACCCAAGUUCCACUGUUCUUCUAUCUGUAAUGCUACUUGGUCUAUUUCACAGACAAAACCACUUCUAAGUCACAUUUUCAUAUAAAAUAGUUAACAUAAACGAAUGUCUUAUUUGAAUUGCAAAGUACAUCUACAUUAAACCUUAGUUACGAGUCUCAGCUCCCUGCAAAUAACCCAGGAUCCACACCCACACUGAAGGGUCCAGAAUAACCUUCCAUCAGCUAUAAUUGAAAUUAAUGUAUGUAUAUGUGUGUGAGAGAGAAACAAAGUUAAAUUGUAUAAUUAUUUUAUUUUUGACUUUUUAUCAAGAUACUCCAAAGAUGUAACGCCUAUUGGAAAGUCUAAGGUGCACCUCACAAAAAAUACGCUCCCCAUUUCUAGGCCUAUGUGCUUCCAAAGAUUCGGCCAGCAGCAUGAAAUUCCUAAGAGAAGGUCUACUUCAGUUUACAAAUAUUUUGAGGAGGAUUAGUAGGCCAUAGAGAAGAAUACAAGAUGAAAAGAUUAAAAAUAUAUGAGAAUAUAAUUUCUUACAGGCAAACAGCUAAGGAGUUUGCUAGGAGGCUUCAUUGGCAAAACUUACACUUUCUGCACAAAGAAUCUUGGGAAAUUCAAUAGGUACAAACCUAUCGACAGCAAAUACUUACUGUGAAUGGGGUGACGAAAGGUAGCAAAACUUGCUGGAUUGGACUGUUUCAAAUGUGAACCAGAAGUGAUACCUUCUAACUCAUUUUCUGUGUGAAAUACUGGGAUGCCAACCUGGAAGGUAAAUCGUUGAUGACCAGGAACACAACAGAAAGCAUGUUACUCAUUUAAGCUAUCAUAAAUAAUUUAUUUAGUUUUGCUGCUGAAAAGCCUUCACUUGGGUUCCAUCUGAAUGGUCAGAUUUUCCUAGUCCCCAGGUCUAAACUGGAACUAUUUUUUUUUUUUUUUUCAGUGUAACCUUUCCAAAUUUCUCAUUCCUGGUCACUCUUUCCUAAUCCCAUAUUAAACCUGGAUUUUUCUAUAUAUCACUGUUGCCCAGUUACAAGUCUCAGAGCAAGAAACACCCCAAGACUUGAGAAGUCAAACUGAACUCUCACUUAAAAGUGAAGUUACACACACAAGGACAACUAAAAAUCAAUCAGCACAUUUCUAACAUACCUUAUGCAACACUUGAACACCUGGUUCAACCUGGUUGGUCUAUAAGCAUCUUGGCAUCAAGGGAGAAAAAGUGCUAAGUGUAGGGUUUCACUGAACACUUACAAUUAUCGUAUUUAUUUCACUGUUGAAUUCUUCUGUUGCUGAAAGGUUGUCAUGCAGCACUAUCUCACCAUAUGGCAACACACUCAAGUCCCAGGGGCACAUACUUAUAAGACCAUAACAUGUCAGGCCCCUUGAAUAAAUUAGAACAAUUAUGCAAAAUAAUAAUACUGCAAUGAUGAGAUACAUUAACAAAUGAAAGUGUUGCUGUUCAUGAAAUGCUGUGAAAAUAAAUUCCACACAUCACUGUGGUCAUCAUCAUCAUCAAAAUGCAAAGUAACAAAAGUAAAACAUUACAGUGCCCUUCAGCAACUGGAGUUUUAAGAAUGGAGAAAAGGGUUGCAAGGGAGCAAAGUCUCUUUUACUGAUGUUUAGUGAAAGUGUAAUAAAGUAUUACAGAAAGAGGAAGUAGCUUUAAAAGCAGCUGAACAUUUACCCAAUGCAAACCCUUUACAUAAACCAUCAAUGUUAAUUUGAGAGCUCCCACUACACACCUCAUCUUUCAAAAUUAUGAAGCAUAGUUGUAAAAAAUGUACCUCAGUCUCAGACCAACUCAGAAUUGUGUGAUUUUUCAGAAGUUUUCUUACAGAUUUAUUUGUCCUUGAUCAAAAGGCAUUAGAGAAAAAGGGUAGAGGCAAGAAAAAAUCAAUACCAUCUGGUUUUCCCAGUCAUCUCUCUAAGGGCAAAGUCUCAAUUCAUCCUUCUUUGCUUUUAACCCUCUAUCCCCCUAAGUUUCCCUAGCAGGGGAAAAAAAAUUGAAAUAUGCUCAAGUUACUAUAUGAUAAUGUCCAAAUGCCUUUUAGAUAGUAGAGAGUUAAAUAUUACUAUUCCACUUCUAAACAUUUCAUCUUUCUACUAGGUGAACUUUUUUCUUUAACAUUUCAGCAGCAAGUAACAUUUUUGUUCUACACCAGAGAAAAUAAAACUGGCACAAGAGGCUAGGGGAUACUGCAGCAGUAGCAUGUUGCCAACCUGAGAAAUCCCAAUACUUGCAAACAGCAGCUGUUUGGGAUUAAAAAAAUAUGACAUUUUGUAGUAUCAUCUCUACAACAACCUGUCUGAAAAGAUAACAGUAUUGUUCCCAGCAACAUUUAGCUCUGGCUCAAUUUCAGUGUUCUUAGCUGUAAUGUAAACUGUUUUCAUGGAUGAAGGGUUGCACAUUUACUUUAAAGAAUUUAAAUCAUUCUCACUUUCAAAAGCACAGACAAAAGUAAGAAAUCCGUAAGAUGAACGUGAGACUUCCCCUAAACCUGACCAAAUGCACUGAUGAUUCACACCCAUGCUCCCCGCUUCUGAAACAGAAAAAGGAUUCAUUGUAGCAGAAUUUAGUAGAAGUGCAGGUAGGUCUUUUUCUAAUCUUACCAUCCCUUGCUCCCACACAAGGGGAAAAAGCACACUAAUUGAAUACAUAGUAUUAGGUAAAAAAUGUUUGAAUAAACUGGAUAUUAAGAAUACAAGUACUGACAGUAAACACAUGAAGCUCUCAGGCAGUGGAAUAUGAAAACCUUUGAGAAUAAAGUUUAUAAUGUACAUUUGUACUAAAGCCCACUCCACAACUCUAGCAGAUCUCAAGACUUCAGAGAGAUCUUUGUAGUACCUAAGGUGAGCUUCUAAAUAGCAAGAAACAAGAGUAGCUAGAAGUGGAGAAUUAAGUGCCUAGGAAACGGUGAGAAAUUUCUGAAAUUUGUGCCCUAAACGUAACUUGGUAUGCCUGUAAACCUUUAGUAAAAUAAUUAAAAAUAAAAUUGUGUAUCUACAGAAAACACCUAUUAGACUCUGGAAUUGUCCAAGUUAUGCUUACCCUUGCAAUUUUCUUCUGUCCAUUUAUGUGUCAGUAUUUUAAUGACCUCAUCAUCUACUUCUUUUAUUUAUUUUUUUAAAAGGACUUCUAACAUUCGAAAUGCUUAAACAUCUAUCCAAGAUAGCUUUUUUAUAUUUACUGGGUGAGAGGCUGCUAAGUAGCACAUUAAACAAAAUAAUGUACAAGUGAAAUUGUCCACUAAGCACUGCUGAAGAAACCAACAGUUUAUUUAUCAAUUAAAAUAUCAAAGUAUUUCUAUAUUUCUUUCACGUCUUAAAAGAAAUGUUACCUGAAUUGAGCAGAGGGUAAUUAACCAAUUCAAAUUAGCACUUUUAUACCUGUACAAAUAAAAAUCAGAGAACCACAUUCUACUGUAAAAUGACUCAUCCGAAUGGGUGACAACAGUGUAGUUGGUUUUAAAGCCCACUUUAAACACUGCUAAUGAACUUGAUAGAGCAGCGAAUUAUCUCAAGUUGAGGGUUUUGGUUGGUUUUGUUGCGGGGGUGGAAAAGGGCAUUUGCACUUAUGUAAAAAAUAUGAAGCAAGGCACACCAAAAUCCUUAGGAACACUAACUUUGCUACCCAAUUUGAAAGGAAAUGCUUCUAGACACAAAAACAGUACACCACAAAACAAAGCAGGAAGUGAACUAACCUUUUAAAAUCUUUUUUCACUGAAGAAAAACUAGGAAAUCUCACAGCCAAAUUAAGACUACAGUUUUAAAAUAAUUUAUUCGGUCACAUAAAUACUUUGUAACAUUUGCAUGUUCCCUUUUUCACAUCCUUGGCACACAAUAUAGCUCUUAACUUGUACAAAACUAGUGUAAACAUCCAUGGAAAAAGAAAGGAAAGCUGGCUG